UACGUAGGGAGCAAGCGUUGUCCGGAAUCAUUGGGCGUAAAGCGCGUGUAGGCGGCUUGGUAAGUCUGCUCUGAAAGCCCGGGGCUCAACCCCGGGAGGCGGGUGGAUACUGCUGAGCUCGAGUCCGGAAGAGGCGAGUGGAAUUCCUGGUGUAGCGGUGAAAUGCGCAGAUAUCAGGAGGAACACCGAUGGCGAAGGCAGCUCGCUGGGACGGUACUGACGCUGAGGCGCGAAAGCUAGGGGAGCGAACAGG
rnacentral:rRNA from 1 species